rnacentral:tRNA from 1 species
GGGAUUGUGGCUCAGCGGUAGAGCGUUCUCCUAGCGUGUGCAGGGCCCUGGGUUUGAUCCUCAGCAUCACA